GCCGGGAUAGCUCAGUCGGUAGAGCAGAGGACUGAAAAUCCUCGUGUCACCAGUUC
rnacentral:tRNA from 1 species